rnacentral:rRNA from 1 species
GGGGUAACCGGCCCACCAAGGCAUCGACGGGUAGCUGGUCUGAGAGGACGAUCAGCCACACUGGGACUGAGACACGGCCCAGACUCCUACGGGAGGCAGCAGUGGGGAAUCUUGCGCAAUGGGCGAAAGCCUGACGCAGCAACGCCGCGUGGGGGAUGAAGGCUCUCGGGUUGUAAACCCCUUUCAGCAGGGACGAAACUGACGGUACCUGCAGAAGAAGCCCCGGCCAACUACGUGCCAGCAGCCGCGGUAACACGUAGGGGGCAAGCGUUGUCCGGAUUUAUUGGGCGUAAAGAGCUCGUAGGUGGUUCGGUAAGUCGGGUGUGAAACCUCCAGGCUCAACCUGGAGACGCCACCCGAUACUGCUGUGACUGGAGUCCGGUAGGGGAGCGUGGAAUUCCUGGUGUAGCGGUGAAAUGCGCAGAUAUCAGGAGGAACACCAGCGGCGAAGGCGGCGCUCUGGGCCGGUACUGACACUGAGGAGCGAAAGCGUGGGUAGCAAACAGGAUUAGAUACCCUGGUAGUCCACGCCGUAAACGUUGGGCACUAG